rnacentral:rRNA from 1 species
GUGGGGAAUAUUGCGCAAUGGGGGAAACCCUGACGCAGCAAUACCGCGUGAGUGAAGAAGGUUUUCGGAUCGUAAAACUCUUUUAUUGGGGAAGAAGAAGUGACGGUACCCAAUGAAGAAGUCCUGGCUAACUACGUGCCAGCAGCCGCGGUAAUACGUAGGGGACAAGCGUUGUCCGGAAUCACUGGGCGUAAAGGGCGCGUAGGCGGUUUUAUAAGUCAGAUGUGAAAGGUACCGGCUCAACCGGUGACGUGCAUUUGAAACUGUAAGACUUGAGUACUGGAGAGGCAAGUGGAAUUCCUAGUGUAGCGGUGAAAUGCGUAGAUAUUAGGAGGAACACCGGUGGCGAAGGCGGCUUGCUGGACAGAUACUGACGCUGAGGUGCGAAAGCGUGGGGAGCGAACAGGAUUAGAUACCCGAGUAGUCC